UCCGACUUCUUGUUCAUCAGGCUUCAACUAGGCAGGCUUGGGACUCGCGGUGGCGGGCGGCCUCACGCUGGAGCUGGUCCUGGCGGGCGGCCUCGGCCUCGUCCACACGGACUUCUCCUGGUUGUUGAACCGGUUGAGGGUCAUCCAACUUCUUGUUUAUCAGGUUACUGUUUGAUAAAAUGCAAGAUAUUUCUGUUUGGAAGGGUUUCCUGACAUCCGGACAGGUCAUACUUUUGCAAGAUACAUGCGAGGAUUGCUGUGUCCAACCUGCACAAGAAUGCCAAGAAGUUCUCGGAGACGUAAGCCACGACGUAUGUUUCUACCAUGAUUUCCUUCAGUUGGAUUUCGUGGAUUUAGGUGUUGAAAAAUUAUGGGCUGUGGAUGGCUGCUUCUUUGUGGCUUCCAAAUUUGAAAUGUUUGUUUGAGAGUUAGUUUAGUUUCUGUUAUGGAUUCACAGCUUCUCACAUGUACCAUCCUCUUAGACCUUUAGAUUUCCAAAG